rnacentral:rRNA from 1 species
AGCGAAAGCUGGCGGCAGGCCUAACACAUGCAAGUCGAACGGACCCUUCGGGGUUAGUGGCGAACGGGGGAGUAACACGUGGGAACGUGCCUUUAGGUUCGGAAUAGCUCCUGGAAACGGGUGGUAAUGCCGAAUGUGCCCUUCGGGGGAAAGAUUUAUCGCCUUUAGAGCGGCCAGCGACUGAUUAGCUAGUUGGUGAGGUAAUGGCUCACCAAGGCGACGAGCAGUAGCUGGUGUGAGAGGAUGACCAGCCAAAUUGGGACUGAAACGCUGCCCAAACACCUACGGAAGGCAGCAGUGGGGGUUUUUGCGCAAUGGGCGAAAGCCUGACGCAGCCGUGCCGCGUGAAUGAUGAAGGUCUUAGGAUUGUAAAAUCCUUUCACUGGUGAAGAUAAUGACUGUAGACGGAGACGAAGCCCCGGCUAACUUCGUGCCAGCCGCCGCUGUAUAC